UAAAGCCUACUAUCUGUAAACAACCUUGUAUACUACUUAUGGACUCACUAAGAGGCCCUUCCAGAUCAAAUGUUGUCAAGAUUCUAAGAGAAAUCCAAUUCUCAAUUUUGAACUACCUAUGAAUUUGGCAAACUGGUUUCCUCCCCCAAGAAUGAGAACAAAGAGAGAAGAAAUCCGAAAUAUAAUUCUGAAGCUGCAGGAAGAUCAGAGCAAAGAGAAAAAGAAACAUAAAGAUAGUUCCCCAACAGAAGCAUCUUUAGGCGAAGGAGCAGAACAAUAUGUCAGCAGUAUCUCAGAUUGACAUGACUGUGCUUGCCAGUUCUUCAUUCAAAAACCAAUGACUUUCAGCUUUGGGUAUAGACAGUAAAGAACUGAAGUGCUCACUACUCAGUGAUUUGAAAUGUUAAUGCUUGUAUAAAUGUCAUAUAAUUAAUUUCCAAAGGAAUAUGUAUUAAGUAAAAGUUUGUAAAUAUGUUAAUGAGGCCAAUUUUUCCAGCAUUUAUAAUUAUUUUUUUCACUUGUUAGGAAGCUUUUGUUAUGUAUUUUUCUGUUAAUAGUACUUAAAACUGCAACUUCUAAACACAAAAUAAAUAAAAAGAAAAUAUUUA